rnacentral:lncRNA from 1 species
UUGAAUUCAUUUUUUAUUUUUAUUUAUUUAUUAUCUUUGUUUUAAAGGAGUCAUUUGAAGCUAACUGGAGCAAAUGGAGAUGUGCUUUUUUAAAACAUGCAGCUUGAAUAAUUCUGCUGGAUCCAAGUCAUCUUCGAAGCUCAUUAAUGCAAAAUUUCGUAAAGUCCUAUGUCAGAUAUGAAUGCUUUUAAAUGUUGAUGUGCAUCAUUAACUGAGUCACGAAGGGAAGCAAAGAGCAGGAGCCUUACUUCAUAUGAUAUUCCAUUUAUUUUACUUAAUACUAUGCGUGGAACUCCGUUAUCUGAGGUGACUGAUUGAAACAAUAAUCAUCCUUACAUAGUUAGAUUCUAUGACCCAGAUGAAGAUGUGGUGCCACAGUACUUUAUUGCUAUAGAACAAAAAUUGCACUGUGAAUGUAGUGCAUUGUCAACAUCCAUCUUUAAUUUAGUACAAUACAUCUUUAAUAUUGAGUACACUGGAAGUUUGAAGUAUAUAUUCCGAUUUCUGGAGCAGUUUAGAUUGGAUAUUAAGUUCUCUGACAACCCUAGACAAGUCUUUUCAUAUUAUGUUCUUGUUUUGUUUAACUAAUUCAGUAGAUAGUACAUGAUGUAUUAUUAUCUUGUUGUUAUAACAUUUCCAUUCAUUAUUGCAACACUAUGUCUUGUUAUUAGAACAGAAGCCCAUUGUUACUCCAUCUGCAUUGUUUUGACAAUUAGCAUUUUGUUAAAAGAACACGCUUGCAAUCCUGAUCUUUGUUGGACAUCAAUAGCGUCUUAAUGAGUGUUGGGGCUGCAGGUUUUGAGCUGAAAACUCCAAGAUUUUACAUCACAAGUCCAAAAACUGAUGAUAUGCUUUAUAAGCUAAUGCUAUACAUAACCUGUGCACUAGCUCACACAUCCUUUGAAGUAAGUAUGAAUACCAUUAAUAUUGUUUAUUUUAAAGUUCACCACUAAGU